rnacentral:rRNA from 1 species
AUAGUAGUGUCAGAGUUUGAUCCUGGCUCAGAUUGAACGCUGGCGGCAUGCUUUACACAUGCAAGUCGAACGGCAGCACAAGGAGCUUGCUCCUUGGUGGCGAGUGGCGCACGGGUGAGUAAUAUAUCGGAACGUGUCCUAUUGUGGGGGGAUAACUAGCCGAAAGGUUGGCUAAUACCGCAUAAGACCUGAGGGUGAAAGCGGGGGAUCUUCGGACCUCGCGCAGUUGGAGCGGCCGAUAUCCGAUUAGCUAGUUGGUGGGGUAAGAGCCUACCAAGGCAACGAUCGGUAGCUGGUCUGAGAGGACGACCAGCCACACUGGGACUGAGACACGGCCCAG